AUUGAACGCUGGCGGCAGGCCUAACACAUGCAAGUCGAGCGGAGCGGCGGCCGGGUGAUUAAUGCCUAGGAAUCUGCCUGGUAGUGGGGGAUAACGUCCGGAAACGGGCGCUAAUCCCGCAUACUAUCAGAUAAACCCAUAUGGGGUUGGCUUGUAGGUGAGGUAACGGCUCACCUAGGCGACGAUCCGUAACUGGUCUGAGAGGAUGAUCAGUCAAACUGGAACUGAGACACGGUCCAGACUCCUACGGGAGGCAGCAGUGGGGAAUAUUGGACAAUGGGCGAAAGCCUGAUCCAGCCAUGCCGCGUGUGUGAAGAAGGUCUUCGGAUUGUAAAGCACUUUAAGUUGGGAGGCGUUACCAACAGAAUAAGCACCGGCUAACUUCGUGCCAGCCGCCGCGGUAAUUC
rnacentral:rRNA from 1 species